UACGUAGGGGGCUAGCGCUGUCCGGAAUCAUUGGGCGUAAAGAGCGUGUAGGCGGUCCGGUAAGUCCGCUGUGAAAGUCGGGGGCUCAACCCUCGAAUGCCGGUGGAUACUGUCGGGCUAGAGUGCGGAAGAGGCGAGUGGAAUUCCUGGUGCAGCGGUGAAAUGCGCAGAUAUCAGGAGGAACACCUAUUGCGAAGGCAGCUCGCUGGGACGUUACUGACGCUGAGACGCGAAAGCCAGGGGAGCGAACGGG
rnacentral:rRNA from 1 species